CGGGCGUGCCUAACACAUGCAAGUCGAACGGAGUAUAUUCGCUGCAGAGAUUUCGGGUCGAAGCUUGAGUAUACUUAGUGGCGGACGGGUGAGUAACGCGUGGGCAACCUGCCUCAUACUGGGGGAUAGCAGUUGGAAACGACUGAUAAUACCGCAUAAGCGCACAGCAUCGCAUGAUGCAGUGUGAAAAACUCCGGUGGUAUGAGAUGGGCCCGCGUCAGAUUAGCCAGUUGGCAGGGUAACGGCCUACCAAAGCGACGAUCUGUAGCCGGCCUGAGAGGGCGGACGGCCACAUUGGGACUGAGACACGGCCCAAACUCCUACGGGAGGCAGCAGUGGGGGAUAUUGCACAAUGGAGGAAACUCUGAUGCAGCGACGCCGCGUGAGUUGAAGAAGUAUUUCGGUAUGUAAAGCUCUAUCAGCAGGGAAGAAAGACUCGCAAGAGAGAUGACGGUACCUGACUAAGAAGCCCCGGCUAACUACGUGCCAGCCGCAGC
rnacentral:rRNA from 1 species